UUGGCAUUCAAAAGCGGAGGAAAAGAAACCAACAGGGAUUGCCUUAGUAGCGGCGAGUGAAGCGGCAAAAGCUCAAAUUUGAAAUCUGGCUCUUUCAGAGUCCGAGUUGUAAUUUGAAGAAGGUAUCUUUGGGUCUGGCUCUUGUCUAUGUUUCUUGGAACAGAACGUCACAGAGGGUGAGAAUCCCGUGCGAUGAGAUGAUCCAGGCCUAUGUAAAGUUCCUUCGAAGAGUCGAGUUGUUUGGGAAUGCAGCUCUAAGUGGGUGGUAAAUUCCAUCUAAAGCUAAAUAUUGGCGAGAGACCGAUAGCGAACAAGUACAGUGAUGGAAAGAUGAAAAGAACUUUGAAAAGAGAGUGAAAAAGUACGUGAAAUUGUUGAAAGGGAAGGGCUUGAGAUCAGACUUGGUAUUUUGUAUGUUACUUCUUCGGGGGUGGCCUCUACAGUUUAUCGGGCCAGCAUCAGUUUGGGCGGUAGGAGAAUUGCGUUGGAAUGUGGCACGGCUUCGGUUGUGUGUUAUAGCCUUCGUCGAUACUGCCAGCCUAGACUGAGGACUGCGGUUUAUACCUAGGAUGUUGGCAUAAUGAUCUUAAGUCGCCCGUCUG
rnacentral:rRNA from 1 species